rnacentral:lncRNA from 1 species
CCAAGCCCUUCCUGCCAGAAUCCUCAUGGACUGUGUUCCUCCAAGGGCUUUCCAGGCUCUGUUCUGUCUGAUCUGGGUGCUUCUCUAACCUUCUAGUCCUCAGACAACUUUGAAUGUCACCACCCUUGAGUUGUUUUGCAGACAGUAAGCAAGCCAGGUUCUACUUGGAGGAAUAUAUAGAGACAACCCUUUGGACUUUCUUCCGUGGUCAGCGUGCUCUGCUGAGGCUCCGUGUGGACCGUGUGUUCAGGGAAUGUGUCUGGGAUCCUAGCUCUGUCGCUGGUUCCCCUGGACUCUCCUCCCAAGAGUCUGUCUUCCCAGGAGCCCAAAGGGAUCUUGAGUUGUUCGACAUUCCAGAAUUUCCCACCUCCUAAGAAAGGCUCAGCCUUUCUUAACUCACCUGUGAGGAGUUUCCUAAGAGGCAGGACGCAUGGGGGAAAAACCUGCCCACAAGUGCUCAGCCCGCCCCACACCCCCACGUGGGAAGGGCCUGGCAUAGCCAGGCUGCCUAAGGCUGUGCUGAGCCUCCAGAAGCUGGAGGAAGGAGCAGCCAGACCUGGCGCCUGCAGAUGGUCUGGGCCGGGCUAACAGUGGUUAUUCCCUUGCUCUGCAGCCCAGAGUCUGAGCCCAAAACUCAAAGCCAAACCUGUCAGCUCUCUGAAUGAGUGCACGACCAAGGAUGCCCGGCCUGGAUGUCUACUCAGGUCUGAUCCCUGAGGUGAACCCCAGUGCAACACCAAACUUCAGGGGCACAAGCGAGGACACAUCUAAGGGACCAGAAUAAGACUCAGCUACAGGCAAAAGGGCUCCUUCCCGUGGCUGCUUCAACCCAGUUCCCCAGGCCCAGCUUCUGGAAUAGACAGUUCCUUCUGGUUAGAUGGGUCCUACCAUGUGGCAGGAAACAGCCAUUGCCUGGCCUCCCCCUGCAUUCCUGUCUGGGUGAAGAGGAGACGUGUUACGGC